CACGUAGGCACCAAGCGUUGUCCGGAUUUAUUGGGCGUAAAGAGCUCGUAGGCGGCUCAUUGCGUCAACCGUGAAAACCAGCAGCCUCAACUGUUGGCUUGCGGUUGAUACGGGUGGGCUGGAGUUCGGUGAGGGGAGACGUGGAAUUCCUAGGUGUAGCGGUGGAAUGCGCAGAUAUUAGGAAGAACACCCGUGGCGAAAGCGG
rnacentral:rRNA from 1 species